rnacentral:rRNA from 1 species
CGCACGGUGGAUGCCUUGGCACUAGGAGCCGAAGAAGGACGGGACUAACACCGAUAUGCUUUGGGGAGCUGUACGUAAGCGUUGAUCCAGAGAUUUCCGAAUGGGGGAACCCACUAUCUUUAGUCGGAUAGUAUCCUUACGUGAAUACAUAGCGUGAGGAAGGCAGACCCAGGGAACUGAAACAUCUAAGUACCUGGAGGAAGAGAAAGAAAAAUCGAUUUCCUGAGUAGCGGCGAGCGAAACGGAAAGAGCCCAAACCAAGAAGCUUGCUUCUUGGGGUUGUAGGACACUCUAUACGGAGUUACAAAAGAAAGUUAUAAAUGAAGCGGUCUGGAAAGGCCCGCCAAAGACGGUAACAGCCCGGUAGUUGAAAUGGCUUUCCCUCCAGAGUGGAUCCUGAGUACGGCGGAACACGUGAAAUUCCGUCGGAAUCCGGGAGGACCAUCUCCCAAGGCUAAAUACUCCCUAGUGACCGAUAGUGAACCAGUACCGUGAGGGAAAGGUGAAAAGCACCCCGGAAGGGGAGUGAAACAGUUCCUGAAACCGUGUGCCUACAAGUAGUUAGAGCCCGUUAAUGGGUGAUAGCGUGCCUUUUGUAGAAUGAACCGGCGAGUUACGAUUUGUUGCAAGGUUAAGCGGAAAAAGCGGAGCCGUAGCGAAAGCGAGUCUGAAUAGGGCGCAUAAGUAACAGGUCGUAGACCCGAAACCAGGUGAUCUACCCAUGUCCAGGAUGAAGGUAAGGUAAUACUUACUGGAGGUCCGAACCCACGCACGUUGAAAAGUGCGGGGAUGAGGUGUGGGUAGCGGAGAAAUUCCAAUCGAACUUGGAGAUAGCUGGUUCUCUCCGAAAUAGCUUUAGGGCUAGCCUCGAGGUAAAGAGUCAUGGAGGUAGAGCACUGUUUGGACUAGGGGCCCUUCUCGGGUUACCGAAUUCAGAUAAACUCCGAAUGCCAUGUACUUAUACUCGGGAGUCAGACUGCGAGUGAUAAGAUCCGUAGUCGAAAGGGAAACAGCCCAGACCACCAGUUAAGGUCCCCAAAUAUAUGUUAAGUGGAAAAGGAUGUGGGGUUGCUUAGACAACCAGGAUGUUGGCUUAGAAGCAGCCACCAUUGAAAGAGUGCGUAAUAGCUCACUGGUCGAGUGACCCCGCGCCGAAAAUGUACCGGGGCUAAACAUAUUACCGAAACUGUGGAUGAACCUCUUUAGAGGUUCGUGGUAGGAGAGCGUUCUAAGGGCGGUGAAGUCAGACCGGAAGGACUGGUGGAGCGCUUAGAAGUGAGAAUGCCGGUAUGAGUAGCGAAAGAAGGGUGAGAAUCCCUUCCACCGAAUAUCUAAGGUUUCCUGAGGAAGGCUCGUCCGCUCAGGGUUAGUCGGGACCUAAGCCGAGGCCGAUAGGCGUAGGCGAUGGACAACAGGUAGAGAUUCCUGUACCAGUGCUAAUUGUUUAACCGAUGGGGUGACACAGAAGGAUAGGGAAUCGCACGAAUGGAAAUGUGCGUCCAAGCAGUGAGUGUGAGAAGUAGGCAAAUCCGCUUCUCGCGAAGCAUGAGCUGUGAUGGGGAAGGAAAUUAAGUACGGAAGUUCCUGAUUUCACGCUGUCAAGAAAAGCCUCUAGGAAGAGUAGUACUGCCCGUACCGCAAACCGACACAGGUAGAUGAGGAGAGAAUCCUAAGGUGAGCGAGAGAACUCUCGUUAAGGAACUCGGCAAAAUGACCCCGUAACUUCGGGAGAAGGGGUGCUCUAUUAGGGUGCAAGCCCGAGAGAGCCGCAGUGAAUAGGCCCAGGCGACUGUUUAGCAAAAACACAGGUCUCUGCAAAACCGUAAGGUGACGUAUAGGGGCUGACGCCUGCCCGGUGCUGGAAGGUUAAGAGGAGUGCUUAGCUUCGGCGAAGGUACGAAUUGAAGCCCCAGUAAACGGCGGCCGUAACUAUAACGGUCCUAAGGUAGCGAAAUUCCUUGUCGGGUAAGUUCCGACCCGCACGAAAGGCGCAACGAUCUGGGCACUGUCUCAACGAGAGACUCGGUGAAAUUAUAGUACCUGUGAAGAUGCAGGUUACCCGCGACAGGACGGAAAGACCCCGUGGAGCUUUACUGCAACCUGAUAUGGAAUGUUUGUACCGCUUGUACAGGAUAGGUAGGAGCCGAAGAGACGUGUGCGCUAGCAUACGAGGAGGCAAUGGUGGGAUACUACCCUGGCUGUAUGACCAUUCUAACCCGCCACGCUUAGCGCGUGGGGAGACAGUGUCAGGUGGGCAGUUUGACUGGGGCGGUCGCCUCCUAAAGAGUAACGGAGGCGCCCAAAGGUUCCCUCAGAAUGGAUGGAAAUCAUUCGCAGAGUGUAAAGGCACAAGGGAGCUUGACUGCGAGACUGACAAGUCGAGCAGGGACGAAAGUCGGGCUUAGUGAUCCGGUGGUUCCGCAUGGAAGGGCCAUCGCUCAACGGAUAAAAGCUACCCCGGGGAUAACAGGCUUAUCUCCCCCAAGAGUCCACAUCGACGGGGAGGUUUGGCACCUCGAUGUCGGCUCGUCGCAUCCUGGGGCUGUAGUCGGUCCCAAGGGUUGGGCUGUUCGCCCAUUAAAGCGGCACGCGAGCUGGGUUCAGAACGUCGUGAGA